UGGGGAAUAUUGCACAAUGGGCGCAAGCCUGAUGCAGCCAUGCCGCGUGUGUGAAGAAGGCCUUCGGGUUGUAAAGCACUUUCAGCGAGGAGGAAGGUGGUGAACUUAAUACGUUCAUCAAUUGACGUUACUCGCAGAAGAAGCACCGGCUAACUCCGUGCCAGCAGCCGCGGUAAUACGGAGGGUGCAAGCGUUAAUCGGAAUUACUGGGCGUAAAGCGCACGCAGGCGGUUUGUUAAGUCAGAUGUGAAAUCCCCGGGCUCAACCUGGGAACUGCAUUUGAAACUGGCAAGCUAGAGUCUCGUAGAGGGGGGUAGAAUUCCAGGUGUAGCGGUGAAAUGCGUAGAGAUCUGGAGGAAUACCGGUGGCGAAGGCGGCCCCCUGGACGAAGACUGACGCCCAGGUGCGAAAGCGUGGGGAGCAAAACAGGAUUAGAUACCCUGGUAGUCCACGCUGUAAACGAUGUCGAUUUUGGAGGUUGUGCCCUUGAGGCGUGGCUUCCGGAGCUAACGCGUUAAAUCGACCGCCU
rnacentral:rRNA from 1 species